rnacentral:lncRNA from 1 species
GUCGGGUGGUUGUCGUCCUCCACCCCCCAAAUGACAAUAAUUCUGCUGAGUUUCAAUGAAACCCUGCCUUCAGGGCCGGGCUGCCACCUCUGCUGGCUGGGCGGGGGACUGCCAAAGCCGAGCACGGUGAGAAACCGAAGGGAGAGCGCUGAGCCCUGCUAGGGCGACGAAUGCACCCGUUGGGCAUGAAGAGCAGCCGAGAGGGCUCGUUUCCAGGCGCUCUUGCCAGCGACCUCAGGGCAUGCCUAAGCCAGCGGCCAGCCACCCCAGCUCUCGCUUCCUGGGCUGUCCCAUGCCGGCUGCCUGCUGCCGGACGGAUGUUAGGGAUUUCUGCUUGCGCUCACGUUCUCCUCCCUGACCCCCCGUUGCAGGACUGCCCCCCUCCGUACUUCAGCAGCAGCCAGCGGCUGGUGGGACCCCAGCAUGGAGCGUCGCGACUGGAGAGCGCUGCCGAGAACCCCGGCAUGCAGGGAGAUGAGCUAUUCUGCGUUGGACCCCCAAGCAGCUACCAGCUCCCUUCCUGGGAGCAGCCUCGCUUGCCGAGCUAUGAGAGUGUGCGGAAGAAAGAUCGCCAGCGGGAAAUCCACCAGAUGAUCGCUGAGAGGUUUGGGCUGUGGGCAGACCCUUCCCAGGAGAUGCCGCCUCCCUACGAGCAUGCUCUAAGGCAUCCUCCAGCUUUCUCAGGAACAGUAGUAAGCUCAGAGACCUUGGACAGACAUGGCACGCCAGACCCUUUCCAGGUCCCUGUCAGCUACCAAACUCAGAGGAACACAGCAGUGUAA